rnacentral:rRNA from 1 species
GGGUUGUGAGGUUAAGUGACUAAGCGUACACGGUGGAUGCCUAGGCAGUCAGAGGCGAUGAAGGGCGUGCUAAUCUGCGAAAAGCGUCGGUAAGGUGAUAUGA